GCCGAAGUGGUGGAAUUGGUAGACACGCUAUCUUGAGGGGGUAGUAACCUAUGGUUGUGCGAGUUCGAGUCUCGCCUUCGGCACCA
rnacentral:tRNA from 1 species